AGGCAGUUGGGACAGAUGCCACGGUCCUAGGCAUUGCAAAAGAGAUUCCUUUGUUAGGCAGCCUGAUGUGAUGACUUACUGUUGAGUUUCACUGGCAAGAGGGAGGAUGUGAUGAGGGGACAGGACCAACAAAAGGAGGUCUGGCUGUAUGUUCAGGCCUACAGCCAGGAAGGCAGUACCCAGAAGCUGGUCAGCAGUGGUGAAAGGCAGUUGGUGCUAUUUUGCAGAACAGUGAAUUUGAGAACAUGGGCUCCAAAAGCCAGAUGGACCGGGGUUUAAAAUCCACCUUCAACACUUAACUACCUGUAUGACUUUCGGCAAGAUGCUUAACUUCUCUUAAGCCUUAGUUUCUUCAUCUGUAAAAAUGAGAAUAAUAAUAGUACCUACUUCGUGGGCUUGUUGUGAUUAAAUGUAGUCUAUGGAGCAACCCGGCAAAAGAUCCAGGUUUUGGCCUGUGAACCUGGGCCUGACUGCGGGUUCAGGGCAUACAAAGGGCUAUUCCUCCCUAGGCCUGAGCAAUGGGAGGGCUCUGCUUUGGUGAUAGAUUCUGGGGGCAGCUGUUCUGGGAAUAGGGCUCUGAGAGGGUUGACAAAGAAAGGGCUAUGUUCUGCCCCAGAUAUCAUGAUUAGGGCCCCAUGAGAGCAGCUCUAGUGCUUCCAGGCCUUUGGUUUAGAGGGAAUUUCCACUCAAGGGCCCAGGUAUGGACAGAGAGACCAGAAACAGGACCACUGGCUCAUGACUUCCCACCUGCUCCUGAGGGAGCAGGGUAUAUUUCUGUAGGCUAAGUGGGGGCUGUCUGAAAGAAAGGGUGAUCUUGGCUGGGGCACGUUGCCCUGCAAGGUCACUGUGCUUGACUUUGACCCAGGGCACAUACUGGGCUCUGAAGAAACUAGCUGGGGGUAGAGAAUUAGACUCCAUUUCCUGCAGUCCUGCUGGCGUCUGGGCCCUGACCAACGUAGGACUCCCGUCCUCUUGGGUUCAGGACCCUCCGGAACUUUCCCUAGAUGUAUCCUAGGUGCCUGUCUGCGGUUCCCUUCCUGCUGGGGCAACUGAUGCUGAGAGUGGGCGCGCAGGUCAAAACCGGAGAGAACCAGACUAUACCACUCACUGGAGAGCUCACGCGUCCGAGAGGCGAGGCGGUGACGCCUCUCCCAACACGUCUGCCUUCUGUAAUAACAAGGUCAGCAAAGGUGGAGGCAGGGGCUCUGGAGGGCCGAAGAGUCGAACUCUCGGAGACACGCAACUUUGUUAGUUCUGAGCCUAGGCUGACGGCUACCUGAGGAGCACUCAGCCUUUCCCGAAAUCCUGACCCUGGUCCCGUCCCCUCCUGCUCCCCUCUCCCUCCACCUCCCCGCCUCCAGUUCCUCGGACCCCUUCCCCUCUUCACCUGCUCUGGACGCCCCGCAACUCACAUCUCUCAGGCCCCACCCCCUCGGACCCGCCCUCCAUAGGCUCCCUCCUGUUCCGUUCCUCAGAAAGCGGCUCCCGGAACUCCCGCCUUUCUGGCCCCGCCCCUCCCGAGCUCCCUCGGCGUUUACCUCUCCCGGAGGCGCCACCGGAAGUACGCUCCUUUCUAGCCUUGGCUCUGCCCCGCCCCCGCGUGACUCCGUUCCUCUCCUUCAGCCCUUGAAGUUUUAUAAGGGUGGCCGGAAGACCUCAGAGAAGCCAUGGCAACAAAGGGCCUUGUGCUCCGUAUAGCAGAGCAUCCUGCUUUUGUCCGAUCCAGCCCAAUGUGUCAGUCUCUGCAAACAACAAAAGAUGUGGCACCCAGCUGCCUGUCCCUGCCCCCACCAGAGCAUCAAGAAAGGCUGAGGACUCUCCGACUGGAACCAAGCUAGGAGAGCAGCAGACAGAGCUCUGACAUGGAGUGCCAGCAGUAAUCUUUUAUCUUUGAAGAUAGUAGCUGCAUAAAGAACGAUGAAGCAGAAAAAUAUUAGAAGCCUAGUUCAAGAUGACUUUCUGUGGCAUACCAGUCUUGGACUGCCUGUCUCUGGAAUUCUCUUAUGUGGAAGAAUAAAUUUGUGCAAGCCACCUUAGUUAGAUCUC